rnacentral:rRNA from 1 species
UAGGGAAUCUUCGGCAAUGGACGAAAGUCUGACCGAGCAACGCCGCGUGAGUGAAGAAGGUUUUCGGAUCGUAAAACUCUGUUGGUAGAGAAGAACAAGGACGUUAUUAACUGAACGUCCCCUGACGGUAUCUAACCAGAAAGCCACGGCUAACUACGUGCCAGCAGCCGCGGUAAUACGUAGGUGGCAAGCGUUGUCCGGAUUUAUUGGGCGUAAAGCGAUCGCAGGCGGUUUCUUAAGUUUGAUGUGAAAGCCCCCGGCUCAACCGGGGAGGGUCAUUGGAAACUGGGAAACUUGAGUGUAGAAGAGGAGAGUGGAAUUCCAUGUGUAGCGGUGAAAUGCGUAGAUAUAUGAAGGAACACCAGUGGCGAAGGCGGCUCUCUGGUCCGUCACUGACGCUGAGGCUCGAAAGCGUGGGGAGCAAACAGG